GGUGGAAGGGAGAGUCAGAGAUUCAAAGCAUGAGGAAUUCGGGCCACACGAGGAGUCUAGGCAGCCUGUAGGAACAGAGAGAAGCUCCCAGUGCCCAGCCAGCCAGGAAACAGGACCUCAGAGCCAUAGCCACAGGGAACUGGAUUCUGCCAGCAAAAGAGCCCUCACGCUAGAAAACUCGCAGAAAAAGGAGCAAGCGGACCGGCUUUUUUCAACUCCCCGCGGAAGUACUCUCACCGGAACUCCUCCGUGUUUGCGCUUUCCCAUUGGCGGAAGCUUCUGCCAGCUUCCAGUAGCUUCCGCCCACGACUCGGUUGGGCGGAGCUUUCCCUGGAAGUCACUUCCGCUAACCCCGCCCCUCGUUCCC
ensembl:lncRNA